CAUGGGUGACCUGCCUUCCAGUGAGGAAUACCGGCGAGAAAUCGCCGACAAUACCGCAUAGGCUCGCGGGGUCACACCUGCGAGCAAAGCUCCGCAAGGGGCGCUGGAAGAGGGGCCCGUGGCCGAUUAGCUAGUUGGUGGGGUAAGGGGCCUACCAAGGCGACGAUCGGUUGCUGGUCUGAGAGGACGAUCAGCCACACUGGGAUUGAGAACGGCCCAG
rnacentral:rRNA from 1 species